rnacentral:ncRNA from 1 species
GAAUUAGCAGGGAAUGAAGCCCCUGUUGAGCUUGACUCUAGUCUAGCAUGGUGAAGAGACAUGAGAACAGUGCAAUAAGUAGAAGACCUCUGAUGCUCUCUGGUUCCCUGGGAGGGGUCAGGGUGAGCUCCACCAGCCUCACAGACUACAGUGAAAUGCUACUUCUCAUCAUUUUCCACUGACCCAGGGAGACAGGGGUGGCUUGAGCCAUGAGUGGUUCUCACUUCUGGCACCAAGUGUCUGUCACACAUAUUGUAUGCUAUGGCCCAUUCUGGGAACAGUGCCAUGUUCAUCGUUUGACUGGGGAGUUACACUUGUCAAACAGUAAUGCAGGUGUCCUACAGCGAACUCGCAGAUGACGGAAACUAUCCUUAAAACUUGCUGUACCAUGAUUUUCAGUACAAAUACAAACCAUGAAAGCAGGGCAUGAAGAUCCUUCUGAAUUUUUGGUUUUUAAGUAGGAAUUUUCAGAAAAGUUACCACAGGAAUAACUGCCUUCUGGAAGAAAAGUGUUCAUAGUGACAUAGUUUUAUUGACCGUGCAAUGUCUGCUGUUCUUGUGAUUUUGAAGCAGAACUCACCUAGCGUUGGAUUGUUGACCCAGUAAUAGGGAAUGUGAGCUGGAUUAGAACAUCAUGAGACAGAUUCGUUUUACCUACUGAUUAUGUGCAUUUUGCCUUUGAAUCCUGCUCAGUAUGAGAGGAUUANNNNNNNNNNNNNNNNNNNNUCUUCCUCCUGGGGGUUGAUUGAUGGCCCACUGUUUUCUGUCACUAGUCCCACCUCCUUCCCCUGUCAUUCUUCGCCUGAGGAAGGUUGGAAGUAGCAGGGAGAUUACAUAAUGUGGUCCGUGAUAUAUUUAUCAUGUGCAGUAUGAGAGGAACAAUAUGUUCAGACAUUUGGAGUGUAUGCUCCACUGAGAAGACAAUGAGCAAGACUACCACUUGUAGAAUUAUGACUUAAGGCCCCUAAGUUGAAAUUCCACUGAUGCAGGGCUGUAAAAUGGAGCCAAAGACCCUCAGUUAGCCCUGGAUAGCCAGGUCUGGUCUAUUCCUGCUGGAGGUGCCAUCGCAUUCCCACAAGGUGGUGGGUCCCUGUUGUGUUGGGGCACAGGUGUCCAGUGUGGAAAGACACUCAUCCUCUGAAACAUCGUGUGCUAGAAAGGAGACAGACCUUUCAUCCAUCAUGCUAAUGCAUGUGUGUGUAGAAUCUGGAGCUAAAUCAUUCCAAGAUGACCUGCUUCUGUGACGGGGAUUCAUAUAUAGCAGAACAGUUCACUUACUUUGUCUCUUGAAAGUCAAUCGUCAACACAAGGUUU